rnacentral:rRNA from 1 species
CUUGAGAAUCGGGCGGCUAACACCGUUCKAAUUGUAGUCUGGAGAGGCGUCCUCAGCGACGGACCGAGCCCAAGUUCCCUGGAAAGGGACGCCUGGGAGGGUGAGAGCCCCGUCCGGCCCGGACCCUGUCGCACCACGAGGSGCCGUCAACGAGUCGGGUUGUUUGGGAAUGCAGCCCUAAUCGGGCGGUAAACUCCGUCCAAGGCUAAAUACAGGCGAGAGACCGAUAGCGAACAAGUACCGCGAGGGAAAGAUGAAAAGGACUUUGAAAAGAGAGUCAAAGAGUGCUUGAAAUUGCCGGGAGGGAAGCGGAUGGGGGCCGGCGAUGCGCCUCGGCCGUAUGCGGAACGGCUUCGGCUGGUCCGCCGCUCGGCUCGAGGCGCGGACUGUUGUCGGCUGCGYCGGCGGCCUAAGUCCGGGGGCUCUAGGUGCCUCCGGUUUCCGYCGUCGGCGCGGCCGGUUACCGCGCGCCGCGAGGCGCGUCCCUCGGGACGCUGCGCUGCAACGGCCAGUGGGCUCCCCAUCCGACCCGUCUUGAAACACGGACCAAGGAGUCUGACAUGCGUGCGAGUCGACGGGUUCUGAAACCUGGGAUGCGCAAGGAAGCUGACGAGCGGGAGGCCCUCACGGGCCGCACCGCUGGCCGACCCUGAUCUUCUGUGAAGGGUUCGAGUUGGAGCACGCCUGUCGGGACCCGAAAGAUGGUGAACUAUGCCUGAGCGGGGCGAAGCCAGAGGAAACUCUGGUGGAGGCUCGAAGCGAUACUGACGUGCAAA